UCCUGUACUGCGGGCUUGGCCAAAAAAAAAAAAGAAAAAGAAAAAAGAAAAGAAAUCCGUCACAUAACUUCUCCAGUUUCUCCAUAUGCUGGCCAAGAGUGCUUGCCACUGACCAUAAAUGUUACAGAGGUGAAUGAAAAAGUCCUUUCAUUUCUACUUGACCCUUGGUGAAGAAGUGGAGUAGUUCAGAUUUGGAAGCAAUGAUUUAUUUGAUUUAUCAAAACCUGAAAUCCUGCUGAACUCCUGUACCAGUGCAGAAUUUAGUACUAGGAGCAGUGCUGGGAGAAACAGGCCUAAAACAAUUCUCAAAAAUAUGAACCUCAACAUCUGACUUAUGAGGGACAAAAAUACUGUUCUUAAAGAAAAUAUGUAACAUACUAGCAAUCUUUGUGGACAUUUUUUUUAACUUGAGAAAUAUUAUUUUACUAGAGUUCUUGAUACAGACAUACAAGAAAGUCAGGAGAUAUAGAGAGAAAGAUAGAUGAGUGGUAGAUGAAUAGAUAGAAAAUUUGGUAAGACCUAGAUCUAUUAUGUAUUAGACAUUACAUUAGUUUUAAAAAUACAUUUACCUAUCUCAUUUAAUGUUUUAACAGUUCCAUGACAUAUUAUCAGCUCAUGUCUUUCAGAUGGGGACAGGCUUAGAGAAUGAAAUAACUUGACUGAGGUUACAGAGCUCAUCAGCUGGAUUGAAACACAGGUUUGUCUUGCCCCAAAGCCACUUUUCCAUUAUUUUAAAUGGUUCUAGUUAUUUUUAAAAAAUUUCUGUGACUCAAUCCUUAAAACACAAGAAUUUUUUACAGGAAUUGAGAGAUCGAAUUUCAAGUCAGAAACACAAAUGGCAAUGUGAUAACAGGUUACAUAUUGAUAAAAGAAACUUUAUGAUGUCCAACAAAAUUGUUUCUCAUAUACAGAAAGUCAGAUGUCUUAUACACCUAUUUUCAUCAUUAAUAUUAAUAUAUAAUCAUUUUAUAUAAGUAAAUAUAAAAGCAGUCUCCUGGAAUUUAAGAUCUCCUUGAUGAUUUCAUUUGCCAAUACAGUAGUUACUGUAGGUACCUAUUUUCAGACUGGGAAACUGUCAUCUCUAAUUAUUAUAAAAUUUGAUGCAUGGGAACAAAUUUCAGUUGUGUUCAAAGCGUGCUUCUGUGCCAUUGCCAUCCCUUAUCUACUAUAUCUGCACAUCACCCAGGGUUAGAGCUAAGGCCGUGAUCACAGCUAUCAGCAAUUAGGAGUAAAGUAACUACAGAAAAUCUCAAGGUCAUGCCAGGAUAUCUGUCACAGAAUUGCUGUUCUUCGUCAUUCAUGUGCCUCCUCUCAUAUUAGGUAAAGCCAUCAUGAGAGAGUGAACAUAUUUUAGUUCUCUUUAAAAUAAUCUCUCUUCAUCAGACCAUAGCAAGGUAUUGUAAUCUACAAGCCACAGGCAUUAGAUGCCACUUUGAGAUGAUCUCUAAGACUUUGUCCAGUCUUAACUUUCUCUAAUUCCAGGAACUUAACAAUCACUAAGAUAGAAAAGCUUGCAAGGGGGUCUUCACCAGGCCUUGUAGCCGUCAGAACUUAAAGGGUCCUUGACUUGAGUUCCGUUACGUGAGACUACCCCUGAGUUCUUUGAUGCUGUAGGAGUUAUUCAGUCAGUAUGAAUAACUGGGACAAGUUAUAGGAUUUCAAAGAGUAAGUAAAUAACCUCCGAUCAGAAAAUUCAAUUUGUUCGUGAGGUGGAGAAAGGCAUCCUGCCAUUAAGCAGUCAGAUGGAAAACAUGCAAACCACAGUUUGUGAAAGAGAAAAGAACAUUAAAAGCCCUUGCCCAGAAGCAGAGGCAAGUGCAAGAAACAUACUCAGCAAAGUCAAUGUGUCUAUUGUAAAUGUGGGAAGUGAGAGCCACAACACUGAUUGAAAUUCCAAACUGUGUAAUAACCAGAGCUAUCACUCGUAGGCCAGUCCUUCCAGUGGGGAGCACUGGAGGGUCUAAGAGAUUCACUUAUGGGAUGGGUUUUGAAAGAAGACCCUGGUCCACUAUAAAAUGCUUUCUGGGUCAGGCACACCUGUGCAGCAAAUUCCAGUGAUUGGCCAAGGUAGCUGAAGGCACAAUCUGACAGGGCCAUCUCCCUCUCUUAGGUGAAAAGAUCAGAUCUCCUCUGGGAGCAGAGGAAAAACUCAUGAUAAAGCAGACAUUUUGUUGCCACAGAGGAUCUCAGAGAACUACUGUGAAUGGGAUGAUAGCAAAACUUAUAUUGGCACUAAGAAUCACACCCAAAAUGGAUAUUACCUAGUGCUAAUACUAGGCAUAACACUGCCUUAUUAUUCUGGGGUGCCCUCUUUUCCACAUCAAGGAAACUGGUAUGUAUAAUCAGCCUCCAUAGUGCUGAUACUGUUGUGGUAUCUGUUGUAAGAUUGGCAUAGUGUGAACAGGGCCAAUUCUGGUCUACUUGCCAGCUUUGUGCACUGAAAAAGAACUUCCCUUUCUCCAGGUGGGUGCAGCCCUGCACCAGAGCAUACAGUUUGGUAAACGGAAUGUGGACAGGAUUUCAGUUUCUCACUCUCAGUUGGAUACUCUUUAUGCAGUCCCAGGUACAGCAUUCUCUCAGGCUCCACAAGGUGGGUGCUGCUGGAUACUAGGCUCCAUUAUGACAUGAGUGGGUGCAGCAGAUGCUGCUGAUGACUGGCCAUAUCUGCUAAGUUACUCCAGAGGUUGCCUGCAGCUUCUAUGUAAGCCAAGACUUCUUACCUCAAGCCCAUGUUUCUCUCUGCCUGGGUGCUCUUUCUAGCUCCAGGAGCAUGCUGGAUGAGACAGGGAUGCAUGCCCAGGCACAGUCUUCCAUUGCGGAGGGUGGGAUGGAGCAGAGGUAUACAUUCCCCAACCAUCUCCUCCGAGGUCAUCCAAAGUGAGGUGCAUCUGCCCAGUGUCUCCUGGGGUCCUCAGCGGGAUCAAGCCCAGUUGCCCAGAGUGGCCAUCUGCUUAUCAGCAUACCCUUUGUUGACUUUCUUCUCUUCCUUAUUUUGUUUCCUCACUUCCUAUCCAUGUUUCCUGGGAUUACCUUCCAAAUCCUUGCACCUAAAUCCUUGUCUCCGAGUCUGCUUUGGGGGGACCCAAAUGAAGAGCCCAGGCUUCCUCCCUCUAAUUCUACCCCUUGGCUUGAUGUAUCUGCCAGUGUUUAGAGCUUUAAAUCUAAUUUAACCAGCAUGUGAAAUUCUUCAUGAAUGGAAGUGCUUUUUCACAAAUCAGAUUACACACUGCAAAGAGAGAAGAGGCAAAAUGGUCACCUAGAGAACCUACAAUGAGAGAAGAUUUCCAAAGCUCUCAUAAAGAUCAUAUACUUGAAGGAAAAGCAAAUCACACAUCCUGUCAGCAGUGGGGUUGGAGGGUGGAGAAAACUGAAUGGCUGUGCUUGUUAAUAUUUGUGCAGUAGAGCCUGGGUUUCAUUUUGGGUGAAACUGUCCUAGGUGUGAGGUUGGGAGGGCUGAAUGAGGAAAGGGGCUGCAGUGCAGCAGCUUGCUGGAGACAGGCCAGAAGGAGAGCAGUGGGCUGCGGGGAAAGCCACAGUGUGGAGCAGCUGCCCCUCAUCUGUCCAUCAAGUUUUGAAGCCAUCCCCAUGUCUGGGGACUCAGUGUGUGCAUUUGUGAAGCUCUGACUAUGUUUGUUUAUGCUAAGCACAGUGCUGGGCACACUGCUAAGCACACUGCUUCAUGGUGGCUCAAGAAAGAAUAGGACAUAGUCUCUGUCAACAAGGAACUUGCAGUCUAGUAGAGGAAAUAGGACAGGCCAAGAUAUUUGGCACAGGCCACUACCAUAACUGUCUGAGAACAUAAGUGCCUGCUAGAUUCUAAGGGCAGGAACUCUAUUUUCCACAUCUUUAUAUGGCCUGCAAGACAGUGCCUUGAGUACGGUAGGUGCUCAUAGCUACUCACUGAGUGGUGUUUGCAUAACCCAACAAAGAAUCUCAUUCUAUAAUAAAAUAUUUCAUGAGAAGGCAGAAAUCCAUUGUGGCUGGGGGAAUACGGGAUGGCUUCAUGGAAGAGGUGGCCUUGGAGCUGGUCGACAGUUCUAAAGUAAAAUACACCCAAGUCAAGUGGACUGUUUGACUUUCCUUUGCUUGUCAGCAGAGAUCUGGGCUUCAGUUUGGAGAUAGGUCCAUUCUUCCAUCAUUUUUUUUGGUACCUAGUGCAUACCUAUUCAACUUUGAUUUUUUAAUAUUUUAAGAAAUGCUUUGCUCUUAGAACAUCCAAAGUUGGAACCUUUUCAUCUCUUGACAUCAAUGGAAGGCUGUUAUUUUACUGCUUUUACUGCAGCUGAGGGACUAUUGUCAGUUUAUUCUUCACUGUUGUUCAGAGAUACACUUAUAAACACAAGAGUACAUUUGAAGGCAAGAAACAAAAAGAUGGGGAAAUGUACCCUGUUUGGGAAAGCUGAGUCUCCCUAGAAGAAAACGAGAGGCUGCCAGGUAGAUGUGUGUUAACCUGUGAUCCUUGUUCCUCCCAGUUUGUAGUCACCCACCUCCUUCACACUUUCUUUCAUGUUCCAUCUGCCAGCAGCUCUCUCUCUCCAUGGAAGAUCUUCACUGAGAGAAACCCUCGAACAGGCAGAGGUCCCUGCUGACCCAGCAGGAUCAAUACCUGCCAUCUGCACAAACUACCUUGUCACUAAUUGGUGAAGCAUAGGAAAUUGCCAUUUUGGGGGGUCAACAAAUAAUAGAAUUGCAGUAAUUUGACAUGAUUUGAACUAACAGCUUUUUAGAAAAACUAGCCCAUCAUCUAAGAAAAUGGACAUAAAAUAAAUGAAUCUGGAGGCUUUUCUUUUCUUUUUGAGUUCAGUUGAGGCAUUGAAAUCUAUCCUCUUAGCAGGGCUGUGCUGCAAGAGAAGUCUGAGUCUACUGAGGUCAUGACAGGCAGAGGAGAUUCGAAUAUCUCAGUCCCCGAGCUGAGCUGAGCAAGUAAUGUUCUGCCUGUUCUUAGAUCAAUUAGAUGGUCAUGCCUCUCUCGACCCCUCCCGGAGGCCUCCAGAAAGCAGAUUCAAGUUCUUACCCCACUGGGAUCAGCUAGCUUCUCUGUCUUCUGCUCUCUUAUUUCUAGACAUGGAGAAAUCCCUUUAUUUUUCUCUCUUCCCAGGCUUCUCCAAAGCAACUCUACUCCUGCCCCCAAACUCCCUUCUCUUCCUUUUGCCUCUCUGGUGAACGUCUGUUCUAAAGUUCAGGCUUUUGCUAGACCUUUAGCCUUGGAGACUUUCUGCUUACUGGUUAUCAGUGGAACUUCCCCUUCCCCUGGGGCUAGGUAAAGGAGAGCUUGCUUCCUCUGGGCAGAGAUAAUGGGUGGAAAAGUGGAGAGAAAAAAGUAAUUAAUAUCACAACUUCUCUAGUCAGAAGGAAAUGUAUGGUAGAGGAAUCAGGGUUAGAAAUAUAUAAGAAAUUCUCUGUAAUAAUUUUGUCCGGGUCAGACAUUAAUUCUCUUGAUGCCUUAGAGUGCUUUAAGGCCAAAAGAGUUUGGAAUCAUUUGCCUCCAGGCCCUCUUCUCUGGGAGAAGUGAGUUAGCAUGACCUGUACCCCAUGAAGGACGCAAGACUGGUGUGGGCUUCUGAGAUGAAUUUGGAUUGGUUCCUAUUUUGUCUGAACUGGUUCAUGACAAAUAAUCCUAAUAGAAGCACAAGAAUCAUUUCCAGACUUUUGGGAUCAGAGCAGCACAGGCCAAAGGAACUUCUUCUCUGAGCCCCGAAGUUCUCUUUACAUUUCUUUUGACUCUUAGAGCCAUUCAGAAUUUUUGUUUCAAGACUGCUUCAGGCUCUUUGCUGCCUGUUCACAAGUGGAUUGCACUGGUUUAUGUUUAAGUGUAUUUUUUUUUUUUAUUUAACUUUCUGUUUGCACAGUUACCCAGGUGAUUGAUUCGGCUUUUAAAAAACCGCUUUCAGAAGCCUUACCUUUUCCAUGCACCACUGACAGCAAAUAUUUUAAGACUGAGUCAGAAAGCCACUGUCUUUGUGGAGGUCGCCAUGGUGCAGACUCAUCUUCAUUGGUGUUCCCUCCCGUGUGAGAUCCUGCCAAGCAAGCGUCUACAGGGUUGAGCUGGAGAACAUGCAAUGCAUUUAGAAGCUGGGGUUUCAGCCAAGCCUUCUGACAGUCUAUGAAAUCGGGAUGAUUUAGAGAAGACCGUGAGCAACAGGAACUAAAAGCCUGGCUGACAUUCACUGCUCUGUAAACAAUGUUGUUUUCUGACAACAACUUUGAAAAAUAAACAGAAAAGACCACCCAAGAGAAAUAUGUAUCAAUGAGAAAGACGUUGUGUCAGAUAAGAAAUGAGAGAUUGUAAAAAUGGACUAAAGUAUCCUGUGGAGUUAGGAAGCAAUAAAAUGUUUACAGAUAGCUAAAUCUUCAUUUGGAGCUGAGAGUCUCAAUGCCAAGAGAAAAAAAAAAAAAAAAAAAAAAAAAAA
rnacentral:lncRNA from 1 species